rnacentral:lncRNA from 1 species
GCCUCAGCAUGGCAUCUGUGUGACAGCCAAUUCUUCAGGCUUUGUGGGCUCUGGACAUUUUUCUCUAACUGUGCACAACACCAGUGUACUCAGUGUGUUCCAGAAGAGUUGCCCUGGCAGGUGGAACAUGUGAGACCCACUCCCAGCCUCCUAUCCUGCGUAUUCCGUGACAACUCGGGGACCUGGCGGUAGAGAAGGUGCUCAGCCUUGGGCCCUGCACUGGCUCUGGCCAACCUUCCUCAGCCUGUGGUCAGCCUGCACAUUUUUCCUGGAGAGGGGCCAGUGUGUCAGGAGUGGGUUGGAGAGCACAGGCUUGGACAGAAGCAAGGAGAAGGAACGGGAAACUCUGGAUUUGGCAAAGAACAAGGAAAUGUUGGGAAAUCCUCACUGGCAGGGUCUCCACGAAGGUCAGAGGUCAGGACUAAGAUGGGAGCGGGUCCAGAGGGAGUCAGGAAACUUGUGCAGCAGAGCAGGGAACUGUGGAGCCCACAGCUAGAGGGCUGGUGUCACCCAGUGACAGCCCCCCCUGGGACACAGAAUUGCCCCCAUGACAGCCCCCCCGGGACAAGGAACUAUUCCAGUGACAGCCCCCACCUGGGACAUAACACCAUCCUGGGACACGGAAGCAUCUGGGGCACAGCACCGUCCCUGCAAUCGCCCGUUUGGGAUGAGCACCCUUGCAGGAGGCCAAGGCAGAUGAACAUUGUCCCCCGCCAGCCUCAAGCCUGCAUUUCGCUUUCCUUGUCAAGUGGACAAAGGUGAUCUUCCUGCAAUUCACAUCCAAGCAUCCUUUGAAGCCCCUCGUGACUCCUCAUAGUGAGCUGGCCUUCUAGAAUGCAGUCUCCACCAACCUCA